UACGUAGGUCCCGAGCGUUAUCCGGAUUUAUUGGGCGUAAAGCGAGCGCAGGCGGUUGGAUAAGUCUGAAGUUAAAGGCUGUGGCUCAACCAUAGUAUGCUUUGGAAACUGUUCAACUUGAGUGCAGAAGGGGAGAGUGGAAUUCCAUGUGUAGCGGUGGAAUGCGCAGAUAUAUGGAGGAACACCGGUGGCGAAAGCGGCUCUCUGGUCUGUAACUGACGCUGAGGCUCGAAAGCGUGGGUAGCGAACAGG
rnacentral:rRNA from 1 species